rnacentral:rRNA from 1 species
AACGAACGCUGGCGGCGCGCCUAAUACAUGCAAGUCGAGCGAGAAGACGUAGCAAUACGUUUGUAAAGCGGCGAACGGGUGAGGAAUACAUGGGUAACCUACCCUCGAGUGGGGAAUAACUAACCGAAAGGUUAGCUAAUACCGCAUACGACUCCUGGUCUGCGGAUCGGGAGGGAAAGCGAUAUCGUGGGUAUCGCGCUCUUGGAUGGGCUCAUGUCCUAUCAGCUUGUUGGUGAGGUAACGGCUCACCAAGGCUUCGACGGGUAGCUGGUCUGAGAGGACGAUCAGCCACACUGGCACUGCGACACGGGCCAGACUCUUACGGGAGGCAGCAGUAAGGGAUAUUGCGCAAUGGGCGACAGCCUGACGCAGCGACGCCGCGUGGGGGAUGAAGGUCUUCGGAUUGUAAACCCCUUUCGGCAGGGAAGAUGGAACGGGUAACCGUUCGGACGGUACCUGCAGAAGCAGCCACGGCUAACUUCGUGCCAGCAGCCGCGGUAAUACGAAGGUGGCAAGCGUUGUUCGGAUUUACUGGGCGUACAGGGAGCGUAGGCGGUUAGGUAAGCCCUCCGUGAAAUCUCCGGGCCUAACCCGGAAAGUGCGGAGGGGACUGCUCGGCUAGAGGAUGGGAGAGGAGCGCGGAAUUCCCGGUGUAGCGGUGAAAUGCGUAGAGAUCGGGAGGAAAGCCGGUGGCGAAAGCGGCGCUCUGGAACAUUUCUGACGCUGAGCUCGAAAGCGUGGGGAGCAAACAGGAUUAGAUACCCUGGUAGUCCACGCCUUAACGAUGAAUACUAAGUGUCGGCGGGUUACCGCCGGUGCCGCAGCUAACGCAUUAAGUAUUCCGCCUGGGAAGUACGGCCGCAAGGUUGAAACUCAAAGGAAUUGACGGGGGCCCGCACAGGCGGUGGAGCAUGUGGUUUAAUUCGACGCAACGCGAAGAACCUUACCCAGGCUGGACAUGCAGGUAGUAGAAGGGUGAAAGCCUAACGAGGUAGCAAUA